rfam:Oryza glumipatula chromosome 11, whole genome shotgun sequence.
UCCGUCCGCAGUCGUGGAUUUUCAUCUCUAACGUUUGAUUGUCCGUAUUAUCUAAAAUAAAUAUUAUGAUUAGUAGUUUUAAUCUUAUUAUGUACAUAAAUAAUACUUUAUAUGUGACUAGUUUUUUUAAUUCUUUCAUAAAGUUUUCAAAUAAAAAAAGACAGUCAAAUGUUGGACACGAAAAAUCAUAAUUACACUUAUA